UUCCGGUUGAUCCUGCCGGACCCCACUGCUAUCGGGAUAGGACUAAGACAUGCUAGUCAAGCGCUUUCUAGCUAAUAUGAAAGUGCGGCAUACAGCUCAGUAACACGUGGCUAACCUGCCCUUGGGACGGAGACACCCCCGGGAAACUGGGGUUAAUUUCCGAUAGGUGAAAAAUUUUGGAAUGAAUUUUCGCUCAAAAGAGGUUUAUGUUAUGCUCAUAUUCUUCGCCCAGGGAUGGGGCCGCGACCGAUCAGGUUGUUGGUGAGGUAAUGGCUCACCAAGCCUUUUACCGGUACGGGCCGUGAGAGCGGGAGCCCGGAGAUGGGCACUGAGACAAGGGCCCAGGCCCUACGGGGCGCAGCAGUCGCGAAAACUUUGCAAUACACGAAAGUGUGACAAGGCUAUCCCGAGUGCCAUCCGCUGAGGAAAGCUUUUACCCAGUAUAAAUAGCUGGGAGAAUAAGGAGAGGGGCAAGUCUGGUGUCAGCCGCCGCGGUAAUACCAGCUCUCCGAGUAGUGUGGAUGUUUAUUGGGGCCUAAAGCAUCCGUAGCUUGCUAGGCAAGGUCCCCUGUUAAAUCCACCGAUUCAAUCGAUGGUUUUGCGGGGGAUACUGUUUGGCUAGGGGACGGGAGAGGUCGACGGUAUUUCCGGGGUAGGGGUGAAAUCCUAUAAUCCCGGGAGGACCACCAGUGGCGAAGGCUGCCGACUAGAACGCGCCCGACGGUGAGGGAUGAAAGCUGGGGGAGCGAACCGGAUUAGAUACCCGGGUAGUCCCAGCUGUAAACGAUGCAGGCUUAGGUGUUUGGGCGGCCACGAGCCGCCCUAGUGCCGCAGGGAAGCUGUUAAGCCUGCCGCCUGGGGAGUACGGCCGCAAGGCUGAAACUUAAAGGAAUUGGCGGGGGAGCACCACAAGGGGUGAAGCUUGCGGUUUAAUUGGAUUCAACGCCGGGA
rnacentral:rRNA from 1 species